rnacentral:sRNA from 1 species
UAUUAUGUUUCUAGCCAUAGCCAAGUGCAAC